rnacentral:rRNA from 1 species
AGUGAACGCUGGCGGUAGGCCUAACACAUGCAAGUCGAACGGUAGCACAGUAAGAGCUUGCUCUUACGGGUGGCGAGUGGCGGACGGGUGAGGAAUACAUCGGAAUCUACUUUUUCGUGGGGGAUAACGUAGGGAAACUUACGCUAAUACCGCAUACGACCUACGGGUGAAAGCAGGGGAUCUUCGGACCUUGCGCGAUUGAAUGAGCCGAUGUCGGAUUAGCUAGUUGGCGGGGUAAAGGCCCACCAAGGCGACGAUCCGUAGCUGGUCUGAGCGGAUGAUCAGCCACACUGGAACGGGGACACGAUCCAGACUCCUACGGGAGGCAGCAGUGGGGAAUAUUGGACAAUGGGAGCAAGCCUGAUACAGCCAUACAGCGUGGGUGAAGAAGGCCUUCGGGUUGUAAAGCCCUUUUGUUGGGAAAGAAAAGCAGCAGGUUAAUACCCCGCUGUUCUGACGGUACCCAAAGAAUAAGCACCGGCUAACUUCGUG